rnacentral:rRNA from 1 species
UACGUAGGUGGCAAGCGUUGUCCGGAUUUACUGGGCGUAAAGAGCGCGCAGGCGGUCGGCCAAGUCGAGUGUGAAAGCCCCCGGCUCAACUGGGGAGGGUCAUUCGAUACUGGUCGACUCGAAGGCAGGAGAGGGAAGCGGGAUUCCCGGUGUAGUGGUGAAAUGCGUAGAUAUCGGGAGGAACACCAGUGGCGAAGGCGGCUUCCUGGCCUGUUCUUGACGCUGAGGCGCGAAAGCUAGGGGAGCAAACGGG